AUAAACAGCUGACUUUAUAUUUGGCAAAAAAUUGUAUGUAAACGCAACCAAAUUUUUAGAGCAGAAGAAAAAUAUAUUAGCCAAAAUGACUGACACGCACAGCAGGUCAGCGAUUAUUCCCCACAAGUCAAAAUCAGUAGAUGCAAAAUUCGUUUGGUCACAUUUUCUUGUCGCCCGGGGCAAGAGUGAAGCUGCAAAAUGCAUUAAGUGCAGAUUUUACUAACCAAAGGAGGAUCAACAAAAGGUUUGCACACUCACUUAAAAGUUCACAACAUAAAUAUUUCCGAAACACGUAAAAUCCCAGCGAUUAAUUAUCGGAGCUUCCGUGCAAGCAGGCAAAGAAGACACAAUUAUUUGAAAGCAGUUCAGAUAAAAGUCUUUCCGCAGUUUUGUCGCGAAUGAUCGCCGUUGACGGCAUACCAUUUUCUGCCUUUGUAAAGUCGGCGGAUUUGCGAGCAAUGAUGAGUGCUUGUGGGUUUGAUGUGCCAAAAUCACGAGACAACAUAAGAAGUAUAGUGUUGAAAUAUUACCAAAAAAGCAAAGGCAAUAGUAUUGCAGAAAUUGAGUUAUUGAAAAAUCAAGGGAACAAAUUCUCUCUCGUAUUUGACGAAUAGACGUCGAUAUCGAAUAGGCAUUUCCUCAACGUUAAUCUGUUCGCUGAAAACAAAUAUUGGAGUUUAGGCCUAUUGCGCUAUAAAACUUCGAUGACUGCUGAAGUGUGCGUGGAUAUAUUGGCUAAACAUUUAGAGGAAGUAAAUCUGAAUUUAUCAAAGGAUGUUGUAGCCAUCACGACAGAUGGUGCGAGCACGAUGGUGAAAGUGGGGAGAUUGAUAGAGCCGUUCCAGCAAUUAUGCUUUGCACAUGGCGUCCACUUAGCAGUCGUUGAUAUUUUAUAUAAAACGGAACCAAAAACAUUAAACCAUGAAAAUGAUGACGCUGCAGAUAGUUAAUCAGAACUUGAAAAUUUAGAGGAAAAUAUAAUUUUAGUUCUAUUAUAACGAAAGUAAGAAACAUUGUUCGUGCGUUUCGUAAAUCGUCUACUAAAAACGAAAUUUUGCAAUAUUAUGUUAAACUUGAGCACAAAAAAGAGUUAUAUUAGACUGUAAGACUAGAUGGAAUAGUAUGUUAGACAUGUUAGAAAUAUUUAUUUUGCUUGAAGACAGUAUAAAAAAGGCCAUCAUUGAUCUUAAAAUGAGUUCCUUGCUUGAUCAUGAGUAUGAUAUUAUUAAAGAAGUUGCUCGUGUUCUACACCCCGUUAAAAUUACUAUUGAAGCCUUAUGCGCUCGCAAGAUGGACUUGUUCAAAUGUGAUGUAGCUUUGAAUUUUAUGCUUGGAGAAAUAAAAAGGAAGAAAUCUACAUUGAGCAAAAACUUGUGUAAUAAACUCGUUGAAAGGAUCAAGCAACGGAGAACAAUUCUGUCAGAUGUUUACUCCUUUUUUGAUGAAUCCAAAUCAUCUGUAUAAUCUUAAAUAUGACUUUUCUGAAGCUCUUGAUUUUACUGCCAUUAGAAAGGAGCUCGAGAAUAUCCUCCUUAAUGUAGAAAAUGAGCCUUAUUACGAAAGCGAUAUUAAUGACACUAAGACGAAGUAGUUGAAGUAGAUAAAGCAGUAAGUAAGUAAGAUAAAUUGCAUCAAGUUUUAACGAUCAGCUCGUAAAUGACCCAUAAUAGGGGAGCAUAAAAUUUAUCAGUAGUUUUGGUAAAAGAAAUUGAUAUUUUUUCUAAUGGUUGCGAUAAAGGCUCUUACCUACAGAGAGAAUUUAACUUUUUAUCCACAAUCCAACCAACAAGUGUUUAAGCGGAACGAUGCUUCUCAUCUGCAGGUUUUAUAUGCAAUAGAUUUAGGUCCAGGUUAGAUGAUAACACCCUUAAUGCUAUAAUUUUUUUAAGAUCGCAUUUCCAUCGAAAGAUGGAACAAUUUUGCUUCGUUCAAAAUGGAAUAGGUGACGCACUUAUAUAUUUACUUUUUACUUAAAUGUGUUAACUUUUUUAUUAUGACUUAAAUA